rnacentral:rRNA from 1 species
CCUACGGGUGGCAGCAGUGAGGAAUAUUGGUCAAUGGACGAGAGUCUGAACCAGCAAAGUAGCGUGAAGGAUGACUGCCCUAUGGGUUGUAAACUUCUUUUAUAUGGGAAUAAAAUGUUCCACGUGUGGGAUUUUGUAUGUACCAUAUGAAUAAGGAUCGGCUAACUCCGUGCCAGCAGCCGCGGUAAUACGGAGGAUCCGAGCGUUAUCCGGAUUUAUUGGGGUUAAAGGGAGCGUAGGUGGAGUGUUAAGUCAGUUGUGAAAGUUUGCGGCUCAACCGUAAAAUUGCAGUUGAAACUGGCAGUCUUGAGUACAGUAGAGGUGGGCGGAAUUCGUGGUGUAGCGGUGAAAUGCUUAGAUAUCACGAAGAACUCCGAUUGCGAAGGCAGUUCACUGGACUGCAACUGACACUGAGGCUCGAAAGUGUGGGUAUCAAACAGGAUUAGAUACCCUAGUAGUC